AUCCUUAACCCACUUAGCGAGAAGUCCAGGGAUCAAACCCGCAACCUCAUGGUUCCUAGUCGGAUUUGUUUCCAGUGUGCCACGAUGGGAACUCCUGUUUCAUUUUUAAACAAAGGUAAUAUGUAUUAGUCUCACUUGUCCAUGAAUACAAUAAUGAGAAAGGCUCAUGAAAUUAUUUGUUAUCCAGAAAUAACCUUUGCAAGUAAUGUUGGUAAGUAUAGGAAAAGGAAAAAAUCUUUACCAUUUUCUUUCUCAUCUUCAGUAUAACUGUGGUAUUUUAAGCUUAAUAGAGAUAAACUGAACAGAUUUACAUUUAGACUUAGUUUCACAUUCUUACAGAUUAUUUUUAGGGCUUGGUGAAUCAGGAGUGUUUUUAUGUCUUAGACAAACUUUAUUUUGUAAGAUACUUCUUUAUAUAAGCAAUAACCUCAAUUUGAGUUACUGUGGAAGACAAAUUUGUGAAGGAAAUGGAACCCAGCAGAUUUCUCAGAAAUAGUAUAUGUGAGAAACGCGACUUGUAUAAUGCAGUGAUUUCUUUAAUUCGUCAUAUGUUUGGGUAAUUAGAAAUUUUUCCAGCCUUAUAGUCAUUGAACAUCUAACCAUAAAGAAAUGAGACAAAUCUAGUUAAUAGCCCUAAAAACAACCCCAUGACUCUUAGGAAAAAAGAAUCCUGGCACUCCAUAGCAAUUUUAUUUACAACACUAGUAUUCGAGAAGUUGGUGAUGCCAGCUUCUGAAAGAAUAACCUCAGUGUCCUGGAGAAAACUUGGAUUAGGAAAAGUGAAAUUAGAAAUGCCUUCAGUAGAUAAAGAAACCUACCUUCUUUCUACCUCUCAAAAUUUGAUUUGUAUUAUAAAUAGCUUGUUAAAAGAGUAUUGAGUUACUUCUGUUACAGCAAGGGUUUUUGCAACGGGGCUAAGUGUCUGGAUUGCCUAUAGAACUCUAGAAGUGUUUAGCUUAUUGCCCACGCAUCCUAGCUGAAUUAUUCUCCAGGGUUGUAACCAGCUGUUGUGUAUUUUUAAAAUACUGUAGGUGAGUGUACAGAGGUAGAGUAGAGCAGCCCUCCACAUCCCGUAUUUUUUGUGGUGUGUCACACAAUAACAAAAGUUUUAGCAAAUAUUUUAUUACUAAUUGUACUCAUAAAUGUACUUUGAAGAUGUAUAGAUGACCUAAGGAUCAAUUUAUACAUGGUAGUUCCUGGAGAAGAUGGUAGCUUCCUGGAGAUUUCUUAGAGUGAAGGUUUAGUCUAAUACUAAGAAAGUCUGAUCAUAAGAGACACUUGGUCAGUAAGAGUGCAAAGCUGUGACAGUUAUGGUAAAGUAACAGAUAUUUAAAAGAAACAAGUAUCUGGACAUGAGAAUUUUCUGAAAAUAAUUUUGCUUUAGUAACUCCUUGCCCUAAACCCUGAUUUUUAAAAACUUAUUGAUGUUAUUGUAGUAUUUGUGGUGUUUGGGUGCAUGAUAUAUAAUAAUAUGAGUGUCCUUUUUUUAGCUCCAGAUAUUUUGACUCAGUUACUAAAUUUGUGAUCUUUAUAUUCAAAAUUCUUAGCAGUCUUUCAUCCAUAACUGCUGAAGAAUAAAAACAUGAGAAAGAGAGCAACUAUAUAAAAAUUUUAAAGCAGCCCCAAGAAUCCAACCCUUAAUGAAUCCUCCUCCUUUAGAGGAGGAAGGUCCUCUUGGAAAUGGUUAUGUAAAGCUGACUUUAGUGUCUUAAACCAUAUUAGUGGCCUCUGGAUUCCUGCUGUUUCAGUUUCAAAUCUAUAUUAAAUGGCUUGCUAGUUUUUUACAGAAAUUAGUAACAUUUUAAGCUUCAGUGGUAGUAGCAGCCUCUUGGUGAGGAUUAAACAGAGUUAUGCGAAGCAUCUAGUAGAGGACCUUGGACCUUGGAACUUGUAAGUUUGUUGUGGAUUUUUUUAAGUUUUUAAAAAGUUGUCUCGAGUACUUAGGACAUAAAGACAGGGAUUACCUCAGAUGAACUCUUAGUGAGUUAUUGGUAAGUCAUACUUCAAUGACCGAAUUCUUAGUAGAAUACAUUUCCAGUUUUUUCCUCUGAUAAAGUGAUACAGGGCAGCAGGGGUUUUUUUUAACCCAUACCACAUAAGGAAUGUAAAAUUCCUGUUACUGAGAUCAUCUUAGGGCCUGGGGUGGCUGAAGUGGAAAAAAUUACAUAACAAUAAAAUUUUGCUUGUGUACCUGUGUAGUUCAAAAAAGGCCCACAAUUGAUUAUGAAAAUUAGACCCUGUCUCCCUUCAUUAAGAAUCACUAUAAAUUCUCCAAAAGAUGAUAUUUAGAGUUCCCGUUAUGGCUUAGCAAGUUAAGGACCCGUUGUCUCUGUGAGGUUGUCGGUUGCUUCAUAACCUCAUUCACUUGGGUAAGGAUCUAGCAUUGCCACAAGCUACAACUUAGAUCACAGAUUCAGCUAUGUCACAAGCCCCAGCUGCAGCUCUGAUUUGACCCCUAGCCUAGGAACUUCCAUAUGCCACAGGUGUGGCGGUAAAAAGAAUAAAUAAAUAAGAUGAUAUUCUAAAUCAUAAAAAAAAUGUUAGAAUUGUUUCAUGCCUCAAAAAGUUCUAAAAUAAUGCUUUUAUAUUUCAGGCUAUUCAAUGCAAGAGAACUAUUAGUUAUCUGCCUUUCUGUAUCUCUUCCCAGAUCAAAUCAAUUUUCUUAACAUUCUCAGAAAUGAAAGGUGAUGUAAACCCAGCAGUUAAAGUAAAAAUUAUUUUAACCUGAUCACAGAAUUGAGUUAAGAUAACCAAACUUAAGGGAGAAAAUGAAGAACAUUUUAACAAAAGUUCUCAUUAUAUCGUAACCUUAUGGGAGUUCCUGUUGUGGCUCAGCGGAAACAAAUCUGACUAGCAUCCAUGAGGACGCAGGUUUGAUCCCUGGCCUCACUUAGUGGGUUAAGGAUCCAGUGUUGCGGUGAGUUGCAGUGAGCUGUGGUGUAGGUUGCAAACAUGGCUUAGAUCUGGCGUGGCUGUGGCUGUGGCGUAGGCCAGCAGCUACAGCUCCAAUUAAACCCCUGAGCUGGGAACCUCCAUAUGCCUUGGUUGUGGCCCUAAAAAGACAAAAAAACCAACAUGUAUAUGUAUUAUAACCUUAUAUUGAGUUAAGUUCUGCUAUGGUGUAUAUUUCUGGAGGGUUUUUUGUUUUGUUUUGGCCCUUGCCUGGGACAUGUGGAAGUUCCUGGGCUAGGGAUCUCAGCAGUGACAUCCUGGAGUCCUUACCCUGCUGUGCCACAGGGAAACUCCUAUAGUAUGUAUUUCUAAAGUGGACACAGAUGAGCAUGCCAAACAAUCAGCAGUUGGAGUUUCUCCAGAGAAUACCUUUAACUCAUUCUGAAAACUAUAAUAUUUCAUAUUUUGAACAGUUUACUUUGUGUUAACGAUAUUCAGAAAACUAAUACUUGUUUUCUAAUCUUGUUUUAGUUGACCCACUGUUGUGUUUGUAAGAAGUUGACAUAAUUUUAGCUCCUGGAUUUAGUUGCUGCAAAAGGUAAAUGCAGUAAAUAUCCCAAGGUCAAGAUGUAAAAUCGAAAUGUCAGUAGCUAAUGAUUAAUCAGAAAAGUGAGCCCUCCUACAGUUUUUCUCAGUUUUUAAUGGGUUUGGAUAAAGCGGCACUGGAAAUCAUUUCAAGAACAAGUAUAUAAAUUUAGUCCAAUAUAAAUAUGUUCGUGAAUAUAGCCACUCAUGGAAACUACAGAGAUACACAAUUGUAAGCAGUUAUGUAAGUAGGUACUAUUCGUAAUUAAUAUGAUAUGGACUCUGAUGAUGCCCUAUGUUUUUGAACUUGCUGUAAAGGUGAAUCCUCAGUUCUGUCUUAAACACUUUAGGAAAUGCUCAUCAGUCACCCUCCUCACCCUUAACUCACGAUUUGAUGAAUUUGGCACAUAAGUGGUUACAAAUGGAAUAGCCUAGGGACUUGUUUUGAGCAACUCCACCACCAGAAGGUAAAACUCAGGAACCAUAAUCCUUGACAUAACCUAACCUAUUUUUUUCUUCACUUUGAGCCAAAGAAAAACUCAGCUUUACUCCUUCUUUACCCUGCAUUACCAGACUUAACCAUUAAUGUUGUAUUACAUUGGAUCUUUCAUAGUUUCUUAGCAAUUGUCCCCAAAGUUUAUUUUUUUGGCUUUGCCCACAGCAUACAGAAGUUCAUGGGCCAGGGACUGAACCCACGCCACAGCUGCAGCCAGUGCCACAUCAGUGACAACACAGGAUCUUUUCCCAGCUAGGCCACCAGGGAACUGCAAUAAAAACUUAUUUUAAGUUUUAAACAUGCUAAAAUAAAGCAGUUGCUUAAAGGGUAACAUACAAAAGUAUAUCUUAGCUAUGGGCAUGGCCCCAAAAAAAAGGUUUGGCUCUGAAAGAGGUGAGAAAUAAUAGUUUACAGAGGGCAUGUGGCAUCGAAAAAAUUUUAUAUUUAAAUCUUCUCCUUCCAGAUCAAAGUCAGGUUCUACUUCAGGACAUUCUUAUCAUUUCCCAGAGGAAUUAGGACUUAAAAUUUUACUUUGGCUUGAAGUCAAGUCAGGGGAAGAUAUGGAAGAUUUCUGAAGUACUUUUGUGGUUUUUUUCUCCAUGACACUCAGUGCUUUUCAUUUGAUUUAUUUUUUCCUUCCCAGUUUUCAAUUCUUUGUAAAUCUUUCAUUUAACCAAAUUUGUACUCUUAAGAAUAGUGGUUUUUGGAGUUCCUGUCGUGGCGCAGUGGUUAACGAAUCCGACUAGGAACCAUGAGGUUGCGGGUUCGGUCCCUGCCCUUGCUCAGUGGGUUAACGAUCCGGCGUUGCCGUGAGCUGUGGUGUAGGUUGCAGACGCGGCUCGGAUCCCGCGUUGCUGUGGCUCUGGUGUAGGCCAGGAGCUACAGCUCCGAUUCAACCCCUAGCCUUGGAACCUCCAUAUGCCGAGGGAGCGGCCCAAGAAAUAGCAACAACAACAACAACAACAAAGACAAAAGACAAAAAAAAAAAAAAAAAAAAAAAGUUUAAAGAAUAGUGGUUUUUAUGACGAUUCCCAAAAACACAGCAAUGACCCCUUUCUUGAAAAAUGACUUGUUCUAAAAGAUAAUGUCUGCCCUUGGUACCUGUAUCAUUAAUACUUUCUAGCCAGAUUGACUGGGAUCCUUACAGGCACUUUCAGAGAAAAUAGUUGAUGCUCAUUUGAACCAGGAGUUUGGGCUUGAACAGGACUUGUCUGUUUCUUAUCCAGCUAUGAUUUUAUCAGUAUUCUUUACCUAGAGGAGGAGAAAUCUGAGAUGGGCCAAUUCUUUAGAUUACUUAAGUGAGGAGGGUUUGAUUGUGGAAAUGCAGAGAAAAGCACAUAACACCUUAGGGCAACCAAGCCCUCCACAAAAAAAUAGAAAAUCCAAUUUUGACAGUAUGAACUAAAUUUUCCACUACCUGAAUUUGCAUUCCAGUAAUGUAAAUGAUCUGCUCUUUCCCUUUGGGAGUUUAAUUGGCAGGAUAAAUGGAAAGAUGUCAGCAAAAGAAAGAAUCUAAGGCAGAUGAGAUUUGGUAUAAUCAAAAAAUAUAUCAAAGGAAGUUGAAUCUUGGCACAGUAAUUUAGUAUGUCCAAAUGUGAUUUCGUUGCUUUUCAUGAGUCAUGCACCAGAAGGAAUAACCUGAGUAAUUUUCAAGAAAAGACACACUUGUGGCUACCAGUGAAUUGUCCUCUGCUCUAAGUUACAUCUUGGAUUGCAGUAUAUAGUGCAAGGCUGUGUACAUUCAGCCUGAUGCCCCAAUUUAGGCCGACACUUGUCUAGGCUGACAACCUAUUUCUAGCAAAUAAAAGACUAUCCCACAAUCUCCCACUUUGACCACUUAGAAGGAAAGAAAGAACAGUGUUAACAGAAGUAAUUGUUUAUUGUCAUGGACCAAAGUUAUACCCAAUUCAGAAAGUUAUUUGACACCCUUGUUUACUGCUGAGUUAAUUAUUUAAGGUAGUUACUCAUUUAAUUGUUAAUUAUUAAUACCUGCUGAAUGAUCUGGUAAAGAUACAAACUUCAUAUAGUCUGGUCAUUUGUGUACCUGAGACCAUUCUGCUUUUCAGUAAUCUAAGUAGAAACUCAGAAGUUGUGUGUGACCCAUUGUAGCUUGAAACAACCCUAGAUUUCUAGAAUAUAUCUUGAUACUGUGUAGAGUUCACUUAAAAUACAUUUAGCAAUUCAGAUAACAGAAAGGUAAUUCUCCCAAGAGCGCUAGCAGGAACAUGCUGUUAAAAUAUUUUUGUGCUAGUUGAGGUCAGAGUAGACCUACAGCCUAUCUGUCAUAUUGUAUUUGUUUAUAUUGUGCAUUAUGAUAGUUAAAUCCACAUAGGAUCAUCUCUGUAGGACACUGAGCAUUUGUUUAGUUGUUGAGAGCAUGGGCUUUAGCAACAGACCUGGGUCUGAAUCGCAACACUUAAUGUGACCUUUGGCAUAACCAUCAGUUUGAGAUUUUGAAUUCUAUAGAAAAUAAUAUUUGACAGCUUUAUUCAGUUUUCCUGAGAAUUAAGGAAGUAAUUUGAAACUUAAUAAAACACUCAAAAGGUGGUAUAGUGUAGAGUUUAGAGGAUGGUCUCCAAGCCAGUCAGCCUGGGUUGAAAUCACACUUAAAUUAUGCAAAGUAUGACUGUGCUUUGAUGUUCUAAGUUAAUGACCCAUCAGUUUUUAACUGUUUGCUACAUACCUAGUUUAGUAAAUGGUACUUUAUAUACUGUAUAAAUAUUUUGUGUGUAACCUAUAUGUGAUUUUUUCUUUGCAGCUGUAUCCACAGCCUAUGGAAGUUCACAGGCUAGGGGUUGAAUCAGAGCUGCAGCUGCUGGCCUAUACCACAGCCACAGUAGCACUGGAUUCUUAAGCCAUUGAGCAAGACCAGGGAUUGAACCUGUAUCUUCAUAGGUACUAUGUAGGGUUCCUAACCCACUGAACCACAACAGAAACUCCUAUAUGUGAUAUAUGUACCAUGAUUUACAAUUAAUUGUGGGACCCCAUGGAAGAAGGUAAAGAAAAUUUGUCUAAAAUAAAACCAUUUUCAGAGUUUGUAAAUACCUAAUGUUAGUUCAGGCUUUAUGGCCCACUUUAAGAAUAUUAGGUCUCUAAAAAAUUCCAGAGGCAUAGCUUGAAUUAACCUUGUAGUCAGGCCUGGGUUCUAGAUUCCUGGUCAAAUAUAUUGGUAAGGUGUCAGCUUAGGCAGUUUAACUUUUUGAAUCUGUUCCUUUAAAAAUUCGGUAACACAGAACGCCAAAUACAUAGCUUUCUGUAAUGUUAGUUGUAUAGUGUAGUCUACAGGCUUCCAGCAUCAGAAUCUCCUGGGACACAUGCAAAAAAUGCAAAUUCUAGUGUCCCAACCUAGAUAUGCUGCUUAAAAAAUCUGUGGGUGAGAUCUGGGGAUCUGUAGGCUUAAUAAACCAGAUGAUUCCGGAGUUCCCGUCGUGGCGCAGUGGUUAACGAAUCCAACUAGGAACCGUGAGGUUGCGGGUUCGGUCCCUACCCUUGCUCAGUGGGUUAAGGAUCCGGCGUUGCCGUGAGCUGUGGUGUAGGUUGCAGACGCGGCUUGGAUCCCACGUUGCUGUGGCUCUGGCGUAGGCCAGUGGCUAUAUCUCCUAUUGGACCCCUAGCCUGGGAACCUCCAUAUGCCACGGGAGCGGCCCAAAGAAAUAGCA
rnacentral:lncRNA from 1 species